ensembl:lncRNA
GCCAAUGCAAGGAUGGAAGAAAUUCCAGAAAUUUUAUUUUCCUCCUGGGAAUAAAUCAGUCCUAAAGUACCCAGGGAAAUGCAGUUUUCUUUGAGGAACAGCAGGUCUUCGUAGCAGACAAGGCUGCUGAAAACACUGUGAGAAACAAAAGCAACAGCAACAAGUUGAAGAUUAGAAGAAAAUAAAGACAUUCUACAAAAGCAGCAUCUUUGCUUGAAUGUGUGACCUUCCCGCUUCCUGAUUUAUUAGCUUAAUUUGGUUUCACUGCUUUUCCUAUGGCCUCUUAAAAGAAGUAAUGAAACACCCAGUGAUUCUACCACAGGAAAUUGGUAUUUUAUUGAAAGAUACUUUUCAGCCUUUUCAUUUUUGACCCUUUUCACUGAUUUUUGGCUAUAAUUUAAAUACUUAGCUAAAAAUUUAGUUAUUUUCAUCUCUUAUCAGAUAUUUUUAUUAUUGUUGCUCUGAGCCUCUACUAUGCUGAUGAUAAUUGAAAUUGCUGUAUUUCUUCAAUAUUGGUAUGCAGUAAAACAUACUUUGGGAUCCCAUAUAAUCAUUACUACACAGCAUUAGAUUAUUAUGUCACCAGUUUAGGAUUGCUUUUGACUUCAUUAUAAAACCUGACAGGAAAAUAAGAUGGAUUACAUGGCUACCAGCUGAGCUAAAGUUUAAAUUACUUUUCUGCAUCCUACGGAAUAAAGCUUCCUGACUUCACAAAUAGAAUUAAAAUUAAAACAAACAAACAAACACACUGACAUCUGAUCUAACAUAAGUGUGAAUAGUAGUGAUAAAAGUAGCUAAUAGAAAAUGUACUUUGCAUCUAGCAGAAGAGGUUGCAGUGGUGUGAGUUUCCAGCAUGAAAAGAAGAGAGGUUUGAAUAUUGAUCUUUUGAAGCUCCAUUAGCUAUAUGUUGAGCAUUGCUGACAUCACAGAUUGAUGUCUCUUUAAACUGUGUCUCAGAUUGGAUCACUUGGGGAAACCAGCUAUUGACUUCGGAUGUUUGUGCCAUUCAGCCACUGGAGAAUGCUGUCUUUCCAUUUCUCUCUCCCUCUGUUUGUUUGUCUGUGUCUCUCUUGAAUUCAUGUACAAAUUAACACACACAUGCUUCUCCUUUUACAUUAGGAAAUAUUACAUUUAUUUUUUUUCCGUAAAUAUAUGUUGCCAAAGUUGCAUUUAUGAUUCCUUACUAUUUCUGUACAUUACGGCAUGCAGAUCAAGAUAUUCACAAUGUAAAGUAUUGAGAUCACAUUUAGGAAGGUCUAAAGGAAUGAGCAUCAUCUUGUCUGCUGAGACCUUCAUUUCACCUUGUAAAGUGAGGCGACUGUAAUAGCCUCCAGAGGAAGGUUGCAGGAAUCAAUAUAGACAAAGAAACCAAAACCCUUCUCAGGUGCUGGUAGCAGUGAUGUGUGCUUGUGUACGUUCGUGCCUGUAUGCACACAGAUGAAGAGAGCUGGUUUCUGAUGAAAAGGAAUGCAAAUGUUAAAGGCAUUGAUCAGCACUCAUCUCCGUUCAACCUCAUGCCCUCUGUUACAUCAAUACAUUGGAAACAUAAUUUGUAUCAGCAGUUGUUUCUUUAAUUAAGAUCUCUCCCAAAUCUUUCUCAUUGAUUCAUGCCAUUAACUUAUUGACCAACUUGCUUAUGCUGAGAUGGUAGUUUUUGCUGAAAGAGGGUAUCUCUCUCAGUUCACAAUGCUGGUGCGCUACAAAUUUCUUCUUAGCAACUAAUGGGAAAAUGGGAGCUCACUCAACUUUGGCAAUACUUUAACAGAAAGCCACACACACACACACACACACACACACACACACACACACAGAAUAGUUGCUUACCAUCUCAGAACUUUGAACACGUGUGCAAAAUAAGAAAUAUUUCAUCUUUAUAACAUGUGCAAUUUAACAACAUUUACAAAAUACUAUAAAUAUAGGAUAUGUGUAAUCUCCAAUCUCUAUAGGCUACUAGCCAAUAACCAGGAACUAAAUGACUGAGCUUGAACUGAAAUUUCAGCAAUUCUUAGGGAUUAAAAUUAGGGAAUUAAGAAUAAUUUAUGACUCAUUCCAUCAAAUAGUUGGUAAAAAGAUGACAAUCAAGGCAGAGCAGAAUUAAAAUUAGGUAAAAUUUUAAAAAAGAAUAUUCCACAAAUAUUUCAUUGUAAUUGUGCAUAUUUCAUAAUUUCAUCUGGUCCAUUUAUGUUAGCUUGUCAUAAAUACUCUAGUAAACAGAUUUAGUGGUCAGUAUGUUCAUAGAUACAGAAUUUCCUUUGGAUAUACAGAGUGUAAAAUUGAGUAUUUGUAGUAGAAACUUGACUCAGGUGGAAUAAAAAUCAGACUACAUAAUCUUAUCCAGUCAAACUUUGCACAGAUUUCAAACAGUUAUAAACAGUUUAUGCAAGAAUCACAGAUAAGGAUUUCUUCAAUGAAAUUAUUUAAAUAUAAGAUUCUGUCUCAUAUGGACUCUGUAAUGGCUUCUAGAACUUCAGGAAAGUACAAAGACUUAUAUAAAUGCUUCCUUGGGAGGUUCAACAACUCAAGAGAAGAAAGAAGGAAUACAGCAAUUGGUACUUCUAGUGCUAAUUUCCAGAUGUAGCAUUCCAGAGACAGAUAAGGCACACAUGGCACUCAUUAAAGAGAUAUGUCGGAUAUGUGUCAACCUCACUAAAAUACUUUAAAAUCAUAUUUAAAGUGACCAGCCAAAAAUGGCUGACUUGAGCUUUGCGUUGGGUGAAAGAAGCACAAAGUAGUACAAUAAUGGCAGGAUUCCGGGAAGAGAAGUAUACAGAUUUGGGAGAUACAAUCACUACAACAGAGAGUAAAGAUAGUAUUGACAGGGGAGAUUAUCAGGAGUAGAAGCUUAUCCUCACAAAGUAAUGUAUUAAUAUUAAUGCAAUUAAUCAAACAAUUUCUUGUGUCUCUUAAGAAAUUAGUAUUUGAGAUGAAUUUACCCUAUGUGGCAGAACUUGAAUUGAGACUCUAGAUGUUGCUUUCAGAAGUAUAGCACCUCCUCGAAGACAGAGGUAAACAACACACUCUAAAUUUACUCAAGGCACAAUUCAUCGCUGACUGCCCUGAUGGUCUCUUUUAAACCUGCUUUGUCAAGACAAGUUGCAGCACGUCAAACAACAUUUUAUCAAUAUCAAUAUCAGUGAUGAUCAUAAUAGAGUUUGCCAGAAAUACAAUAUGGAAUGGAUGCUGUUUUGCAGUAAAAUUUUUUAUUUUUUAUUCACCAAACUCAAAAUUCUUUGUAUUUUGCAUGACUUGGACAAGUUAGAUAGUUCUACCAUGUAAUUUUCAGAAGUAGUUUUAUGACCUUCCUAGAAAUGAAAUUAAUCUCAAGGAAAUUAUACAAAGUGCUGUGCAUCCCCUCCAAAGGGUCAAGGCAUAUGUAAAAAGAGGGGUGAGAUGACUUAACUAUGUGCAAGGAAAAGUGUGACCAAGUGUAAAAAUCAGGCAUGUAAGCUAAAAUUAACCUUGUGUGGCCUUGAAUUACAGAACUUGCAUUUGUAAAGGAUAGAGCUUUCACAAAAAAUGUGCUCUCCCUUGAGAGCUACUACAGCAACUAGAUCAAAUCUCAUGAAUAUUCAUAUAGCUAUAUAUUUUAAAAGGGGAAAAAUACGCCCUCUGUUUUACAGAACUCUGAUUUCCAUUUAAAAUGUGUAUUUACUUUAAUAUCGCUAUCCAGCCCAUGAUAGAUCUACAACUAUCUCUCUCCAAAAGCAGUGAUACCCAAAACUGGUUUUGAGUGUUUGAUGUCAGUUAUGUUGAUUGUAUCUUUUGCAGAUUCCAUGUGAGGGAAAAGCAUGAGCCUCUUAUUGUCCUUCUAACCCUAUUUCAACCAUCUGCAUUUUCAUGGCUGUGAGCUAACAAGUAAUAUGCUGAGUAGUCAGUUGGAGAAGCCACAGAUCCCAUAGUGGCUGGCAACUGUCUUCUUUUUGGCCAUCUCAGAGAACAACGCAUGACAGCACAACUAGGAUUCAGACAGGAUACAAUUUCAAAAAUGUUAGUGGAUCAUUAAAUCCAUCAUCCACAUAUCUGAUGUGAGAGUAGCACAAAUAAACCUAAUUUCUGGUGCACUUUUCUGUAACAGAAAAAAAAAAAAUACACUUUUGGAUGAACAUUCCUCAGGAACACUAACCCUAAUGAAUAAGUGGCCAGGGAUGUAUUGCAAAUGAUGUGCUCUCUGAAGUAAGUUUAACCAAAAUUGUUUUCAGAUCUGCGGAACUUGAGUUCAGAUGUUAUCAGUGGGAAAUCUGGAGGUUUGGCAAUUUGCUUGGAGAUUAUUUCAUUCUCUUCAAAAAAAAA